GGGGCUCAGUGGGAAAGCCUGUGCUUUACAUGCAGAACAUCCCAAGUUCAAUCCCUGGCAUCUCCA
rnacentral:tRNA from 1 species